CUAUGCCCAUACAUAUUAUUUCAUUCGGCCUUUAUUGUUGUUCCACUAUUGUUUACACCAUGGAGAAAUUUUUAAAACUCACCACAUUUAUGAUAAUUUUUAUUAUUUUUUAUAUAAUAAGAAAUGCAAAUUCCAAUAUUCAAUUCAAAGAUUUUGGUGAUUGUGAUGCAAAAGAACGCCCUGCACAUUUUUAUGGUACAGUGCAAGACAAUCUUUUCACCGAAAUUGUGAUAAACAGUACAGUUACGGAUUAUCCUGCAAAACCAAUUACCUACAUAUUUGCUGCUUCCACGGAUGGAAAAAACUACGUUUCUUUUUACACCGGAAAAGAAUCAAAUGGUUGUACUCCUAUAAAACGAUUCAUUAAUGAAAUAUAUACCGGAAUAGCACAGAGAUUAAAAAUAUAUCCAGUUGCUUGUCCUUUUAGAAAAGGAUUUUAUAAAGGAUCCAAUUUUUCACUGGCAGAAAAUAUGUUUAAAAGCAUUCCAAUGCUGCCAAAAGGAUAUAUAAAAAUAACCGUGAUAGUUUACAGUGGUAAUGAUCGACGAACUGAAUUAUCAUGUACAAACUUUCAACUUGAAAAGCAAUAAUAAUCAAAAUGAUAGCAAAGA